rnacentral:rRNA from 1 species
AUUGAACGCUGGCGGCAGGCCUAACACAUGCAAGUCGAACGGUAGCACAGAGAGCUUGCUCUCGGGUGACGAGUGGCGGACGGGUGAGUAACGUCUGGGAAACUGCCCGAUGGAGGGGGAUAACUACUGGAAACGGUAGCUAAUACCGCAUAACGUCGCAAGACCAAAGUGGGGGACCUUCGGGCCUCACACCAUCGGAUGUGCCCAGAUGGGAUUAGCUAGUAGGUGGGGUAAUGGCUCACCUAGGCGACGAUCCCUAGCUGGUCUGAGAGGAGGACCAGCCACACUGGAACUGAGACACGGUCCAGACUCCUACGGGAGGCAGCAGUGGGGAAUAUUGCACAACGGGCGCAAGCCUGAUGCGGCCAUGCCGCGUGUAUGAAGAAGGCCUUCGGGUUGUAAAGUACUUUCAGCGGGGAGGAAGGCGGUGGAGUUAAUAACUUCACCGAUUGACGUUACCCGCAGAAGAAGCACCGGCUAACUCCGUGCCAGCAGCCGCUGUAA